rnacentral:lncRNA from 1 species
UGAGCCACCGCGCCCGGCCUGCACUGCAGUUCUUACCACACCUGACCACUCAGUAGCAUUUAGCUGUGUAAUCACUUCCCCUCCUUAACACACAGUCUCUCUGGGUGUCUAUGUGUCAUGAUCCUUUGGUUUUCCUCCUGGCUUUCUGGCUCCUUCUUAGUCUCCUUUUCCAGUUCCUCCUCCUAUAUGCCUGUUCUUCAGAUGCCUUAAUGUUGCGCCUUCGACUCUCCUCUAGCUCUCUGCACUCUCCUGGAACUCCUGGAUGACUCUCACAACUUCAAUUAACAUCUACAAGCAGAUAACUGAUUUCUAGCUCCAAGAUGCAUUUCUCUCUCAACCUCAGACCAGCACAUCCAGCUGGUGGGCAGCUCCUCCAUAUUCUUCGAAUUUGCCACGCUCCAAGUUAACUCAUCACCUUUCCUCAUGAACCUGGUCCUCCCCUUCAGUGGUCCCGUUGCCAUUACGACCUACCUACCCACUCUCUCCAGGCAGGACUUGGGGAUGAUGUUUAAUGGAUUCUUCACCUUUCCAUCUUCACCCCUCAACUAUUCGGCCUUUCCUAAAGUUUUUGAAACCUCCCCUUUCUCUUACAACCUGUUGCUACUUUCUAGUUGAGGCUGCCGUCGCUUUUCACCAUCAUGAUUAUUAUACAUCUCUCAACUGGAAUCUCUGCCUCCACUCUCGGCCCCUCCCUCCAACCACUCUCUACCCUGCAGCCACAGAAAUUCUUUCAAAAUACAACUGAUCAUUUCCCUCCCAUCUUUAAAACCUUCCCUUUGCUUUAAAGUCCAAAUUUGUUAACUUGAUUUAUAAGACCCUGCAUGACCUAGCAGCCCCUGCUACUCCCUGCAGCCUCAUCUCUGAACACCUGCCUCGCACUUGCCUCCAAUGCACUUUAUGCUUUGGCAACGUUAUCUUGGAACCCACCUGUGUUCUCUCAGAAUGCUGCUAAAUACAGCAAUUACUCAGCAAUAUGUAAAGACAGCCUUGAAACCUGGACCCUACCAAACUCCACGAUGAAGGAGCUAGUGGCACAGAACUUCUAGAACUGACUCCCCCUCCGGUUACCCUAGUAAUUUUUGUUGAUCAUUUAUAUCACCCUUUAUGACAAGGACAUCUGAGGUGAACAUCCAUAGUAUCAUACAAAUUUCUCAGCUGCCUCCUCCAAAACUGGCAUCAGCAGAAGAGCAAAGUGAGAGAAAUGAGGCAUGACAGAUAACUUGUAAGUUCUCGAAGUUUACAAUGGUAAAGCCAGGCCGGGUGCAGUGGCAUGCACCUGUAAUCACAGCAACUCAUGAGAUUAAAGCAGGAGGACCUCUUGAGCCCAGGAGUUUGAGGUUUCAGUGAGCUAUGAUCAUGCCACUGCACUCCAACCUGGGCAACAGAGCAAAACCCUGUCAAUCAAUCAAGCAAGCAGACAAGCAAGGAAGCAAGCAGCAGAGCCUCUGCAUGAGCUCAUGAAUGGCUGCUGUGGAAAAUUACUGACGUCACCAGCUGAAUAACAGGCUAUCUGGAGAGUAAGCAGAUGAAACUGAUGUUAAAUUAUCAAAUGUACAAGAUUUUGGGCUCCUGCCAAAACCUUCAUUGAGAACUAAGAAGAGAAAAACUGAAAACACACAGAGCUUUUUUUAAGCUUCUGAGCCAGCAGGCUGUUCCUACAUCCACUCCAGGCAUAGAAAGAUGGCUGUAAAAUAAAAGAGAUGAUUAUCUC